rnacentral:rRNA from 1 species
AACGAACGCUGGCGGCAUGCCUAACACAUGCAAGUCGAACGAGACCUUCGGGUCUAGUGGCGCACGGGUGCGUAACGCGUGGGAACCUGCCCUUAGGUUCGGAAUAACUCCCCGAAAGGGGUGCUAAUCCCGGUUAUUGUCUCCGGACAAAAGAUUUAUCGCCUUUGGAUGGGCCCGCGUGGGAUUAGCUAGUUGGUAGGGUAAAAGCCUACCAAGGCGACGAUCCAUAGCUGGUCUGAGAGGAUGAUCAGCCACACUGGGACUGAGACACGGCCCAGACUCCUACGGGAGGCAGCAGUGGGGAAUAUUGGACAAUGGGCGAAAGCCUGAUCCAGCAAUGCCGCGUGAGUGAUGAAGGCCUUAGGGUUGUAAAGCUCUUUUACCCGGGAUGAUAAUGACAGUACCGGGAGAAUAAGCUCCGGCUAACUCCGUG